UAACUUUCUUAAUUUUUCUACUCGGCUCUUAAAAUAAACAAUCAGCUAAUAGCUGCUUUCUGCAUCUUCCUUGCAAUUCAGGAGUACACAACACUAAAAGUCCAAUACUCAGUACCCCCUAGCCUAAAUUCCCCACCCGCUACUGUAACUAAGUUUACAGCCCACGUUAUGGCAGUUCACCCGCUAGGCAGAUAUGCUCAGUACCCCCUAGCCUAAGUUCCCCACCCGCUACUGUAACUAAGUUUACAGCCCACGUUAUGGCAGUUCACCCGCUAGGCAGAUACACAAUACACACACGUAUUACUUAUUUUAUAUUUCCUGGUCUCUCAGGGAUAUACAAUAGCUAAUCCCCUUCCCAGGGCAAUAUAAAACUGACACAAACUUUUAAGCAAUACAGGAUUUCAAAUGGACUUAUGAGUAACAAAUUUCUAGCCAAC